rnacentral:rRNA from 1 species
CGGUUUGCCUUGUGCCUUCUAUACAGGUGGUGCAUGGCUGUCGUCAGCUCGUGUCGUGAGAUGUUGGGUUAAGUCCCGCAACGAGCGCAACCCUUGUCUCAUGUUGCCAGCACGUAAUGGUGGGGACUCGUGAGAGACUGCCGGGGUCAACUCGGAGGAAGGUGGGGAUGACGUCAAGUCAUCAUGCCCCUUAUGUCCAGGGCUUCACACAUGCUACAAUGGCGCGUACAGAGGGCUGCGAUACCGUGAGGUGGAGCGAAUCCCUUAAAGCGCGUCUCAGUUCGGAUUGGGGUCUGCAACUCGACCCCAUGAAGUCGGAGUCGCUAGUAAUCGCAGAUCAGCAACGCUGCGGUGAAUACGUUCCCGGGCCUUGUACACACCG